GAUGAACGCUGGCGGCGUGCCUAAUACAUGCAAGUCGAGCGAACAGACGAGGAGCUUGCUCCUCUGACGUUAGCGGCGGACGGGUGAGUAACACGUGGAUAACCUACCUAUAAGACUGGGAUAACUUCGGGAAACCGGAGCUAAUACCGGAUAAUAUAUUGAACCGCAUGGUUCAAUAGUGAAAGACGGUUUUGCUGUCACUUAUAGAUUGAUCCGCGCCGCAUUAGCUAGUUGGUAAGGUAACGGCUUACCAAGGCAACGAUGCGUAGCCGACCUGAGAGGGUGAUCGGCCACACUGGAACUGAGGCACGGUCCAGACUCCUACGGGAGGCAGCAGUAGGGAAUCUUCCGCGAUGGGCGAAAGCCUGACGGAGCAACGCCGCGUGAGUGAUGAAGGUCUUCGGAUCGUAAAACUCUGUUAUUAGGGAAGAACAAAUGUGUAAGUAACUAUGCACGUCUUGACGGUACCUAAUCAGAAAGCCACGGCUAACUACGUG
rnacentral:rRNA from 1 species